AUUGAACGCUGGCGGCAGGCUUAACACAUGCAAGUCGAGCGGGGUGAUGGUGCUUGCACUAUCACUUAGCGGCGGACGGGUGAGUAAUGCUUAGGAAUCUGCCUAUUAGUGGGGGACAACAUCUCGAAAGGGAUGCUAAUACCGCAUACGUCCUACGGGAGAAAGCAAGGGAUCACUUGUGACCUUGCGCUAAUAGAUGAGCCUAAGUCGGAUUAGCUAGUUGGUGGGGUAAAGGCCUACCAAGGCGACGAUCUGUAGCGGGUCUGAGAGGAUGAUCCGCCACACUGGGACUGAGACACGGCCCAGACUCCUACGGGAGGCAGCAGUGGGGAAUAUUGGACAAUGGGGGGAACCCUGAUCCAGCCAUGCCGCGUGUGUGAAGAAGGCCUUAUGGUUGUAAAGCACUUUAAGCGAGGAGGAGGCUCUUUUGGUUAAUACCCAAGAUGAGUGGACGUUACUCGCAGAAUAAGCACCGGCUAACUCUGUGCCAGCAGCCGCAGUAA
rnacentral:rRNA from 1 species